rnacentral:rRNA from 1 species
GUGGGGAAUCUUCCGCAAUGGACGAAAGUCUGACGGAGCAACGCCGCGUGAGUGAUGAAGGUCUUCGGAUUGUAAAGCUCUGUUAAUCGGGACGAAAGAGCCUAGUGUGAAUAAUGCUAGGAAGUGACGGUACCGGAAUAGAAAGCCACGGCUAACUACGUGCCAGCAGCCGCGGUAAUACGUAGGUGGCAAGCGUUGUCCGGAAUUAUUGGGCGUAAAGCGCGCGCAGGCGGAUCUGCCAGUCUGUCUUAAAAGUUCGGGGCUUAACCCCGUGAUGGGAUGGAAACUACAGAUCUAGAGUAUCGGAGAGGAAAGUGGAAUUCCUAGUGUAGCGGUGAAAUGCGUAGAUAUUAGGAAGAACACCUGUGGCGAAGGCGACUUUCUGGACGAAAACUGACGCUGAGGCGCGAAAGCCAGGGGAGCGAACGGGAUUAGAUACCCUGGUAGUCC